rnacentral:rRNA from 1 species
GACGAACGCUGGCGGCGUGCUUAACACAUGCAAGUCGAACGGAAAGGCCCUGCUUUUGUGGGGUGCUCGAGUGGCGAACGGGUGAGUAACACGUUAGUAACCUGCCCUUGACUUUGGGAUAACUUCAGGAAACUUGGGCUAAUACCGGAUAGGAGCUCCUGCUGCAUGGUGGGGGUUGGAAAGUUUCGGCGGUUGGGGCUGGACUCGCGGCUUAUCAGCUUGUUGGUGGGGUAGUGGCUUACCAAGGCUUUGACGGGUAGCCGGACUGAGAGGGUGACAGGCCACAUAGGGACUGAGAUACGGCCCAGACUCAUACGGGAGGCAGCAGUGGGGAAUAUUGCAAAAUGGGCGGAAGCAUGAAGCAGCAACGCCGCGUGCGGGAUGACGGCCUUCGGGUUGUAAACCGCUUUCGCCUGUGACGAAGCGUGAGUGACGGUAAUGGGUAAAGAAGCAACGGCUAACUACGUG